UACGGAGGAUCCAAGCGUUAUCCGGAUUUAUUGGGGUUAAAGGGUGCGUAGGCGGCUUAUUAAGUCAGGGGUGAAAGACGGUGGCUCAACCAUCGCAGUGCCCUUGAUACUGAUGAGCUUGAAUACACUUGAGGUAGGCGGAAUGUGACAAGUAGCGGUGAAAUGCAUAGAUAUGUCACAGAACACCAAUUGCGAAGGCAGCUUACUAAGGUGCAAUUGACGCUGAGGCACGAAAGCGUGGGGAUCAAACAGG
rnacentral:rRNA from 1 species